rnacentral:rRNA from 1 species
UUGGCCUACGGGGGGCAGCAGUGGGGAAUAUUGCACAAUGGGGGAAACCCUGAUGCAGCGACGCCGCGUGAGUGAGGAAGUAUUUCGGUAUGUAAAGAUCUAUCAGCAGGGAAGAAAAUGACGGUACCUGACUAAGAAGCCCCGGCUAACUACGUGCCAGUAGCCGCGGUAAUACGUAGGGGGCAAGCGUUAUCCGGAUUUACUGGGUGUAAAGGGAGCGUAGACGGCUGUGCAAGUCUGAAGUGUAAUGCCGGGGCCCAACCCCGGAACUGCUUUGGAAACUGUACAGCUAGAGUGCAGGAGGG